rnacentral:misc_RNA from 1 species
GAUGAAGAACGUAGCGAAAUGCGAUAAGUAAUGUGAAUUGCAGAAUUCAGUGAAUCAUCGAAUCUUUGAACGCACAUUGCGCCCCCCAGUAUUCUGGCGGGCAUGCCUGUUCGAGCGUCAUUUCAACCAUCAAGCCCUGCUUGUGUUGGGGUCCUGCGGCUGCCCGCAGGCCCUGAAAACCAGUGGCGGGCUCGCUAGUCACACCGAGCGCAGUAGCACAUCUCGCUCAGGGCGUGCGGCGGGCUCCAGCCGUUAAAGCACCCACCUUUCGCAAGGUUGACCUCCGAUCAGGUAGGAAUACCCGCUGAACUUAAGCAUAUCAAUAAGCGGAGGA